UACGUAGGGAGCAAGCGUUGUCCGGAAUUACUGGGCGUAAAGGGCGCGUAGGCGGCCCGCUAAGUCGAACGUGAAAUCCCCAGGCUCAACCUGGGAACUGCGUCCGAUACUGGCAGGCUUGAAUCCGGGAGAGGGAUGUGGAAUUCCAGGUGUAGCGGUGAAAUGCGUAGAUAUCUGGAGGGACACCGGUGGCGAAGGCGGCAUCCUGGACCGGUAUUGACGCUGAGGCGCGAAAGCUAGGGGAGCAAACGGG
rnacentral:rRNA from 1 species